GAACGCUGGCGGCGCGCCUAAUACAUGCAAGUCGAGCGAGAAGACGUAGCAAUACGUUUGUAAAGCGGCGAACGGGUGAGGAAUACAUGGGUAACCUACCCUCGAGUGGGGAAUAACUAGCCGAAAGGUUAGCUAAUACCGCAUACGACUCCUGGUCUGCGGAUCGGGAGGGAAAGCGAUACCGUGGGUAUCGCGCUCUUGGAUGGGCUCAUGUCCUAUCAGCUUGUUGGUGAGGUAACGGCUCACCAAGGCUUCGACGGGUAGCUGGUCUGAGAGGACGAUCAGCCACACUGGCACUGCGACACGGGCCAGACUCCUACGGGAGGCAGCAGUAAGGAAUAUUGCGCAAUGGGCGACAGCCUGACGCAGCGACGCCGCGUGGGGGAUGAAGGUCUUCGGAUUGUAAACCCCUUUCGGGAGGGAAGAUGGAACGGGUAACCGUUCGGACGGUACCUCCAGGAGCAGCCACGGCUAACUUCGUGCCAGCAGCCGCGGUAAUACGAAGGUGGCAAGCGUUGUUCGGAUUUACUGGGCGUACAGGGAGCGUAGGCGGUUGGGUAAGCCCUCCGUGAAAUCUCCGGGCCUAACCCGGAAAGGGCGGAGGGGACUGCUCGGCUAGAGGAUGGGAGAGGAGCGCGGAAUUCCCGGUGUAGCGGUGAAAUGCGUAGAGAUCGGGAGGAAGGCCGGUGGCGAAGGCGGCGCUCUGGAACAUUUCUGACGCUGAGGCUCGAAAGCGUGGGGAGCAAACAGGAUUAGAUACCCUGGUAGUCCACGCCUUAAACGAUGGAUACUAAGUGUCGGCGGGUUACCGCCGGCGCCGCAGCUAACGCAGUAAGUAUCCCGCCUGGGAAGUAC
rnacentral:rRNA from 1 species